AGAGUUUGAUUAUGGCUCAGGAUGAACGCUGGCGGCGUGCCUAACACAUGCAAGUCGAGCGAGAACCUAAAAACGGAUACUUCGGUAAAAGUUUUUAGGGGAAAGCGGCGGACGGGUGAGUAACGCGUAGGCAACCUGCCCCAUACACAGGGAUAGCCUCGGGAAACCGGGAUUAAAACCUGAUGACAUCUUCUUAGUUCCUACUAGGAAGGUCAAAGAUUUAUCGGUAUGGGAUGGGCCUGCGUCUGAUUAGUUAGUUGGUGAGGUAACGGCUCACCAAGGCGACGAUCAGUAGCCGACCUGAGAGGGUGAUCGGCCACAUUGGAACUGAGACACGGUCCAAACUCCUACGGGAGGCAGCAGUGGGGAAUCUUGCACAAUGGGCGAAAGCCUGAUGCAGCAACGCCGCGUGAGCGAUGAAGGCCUUUGGGUCGUAAAGCUCUGUCCUUGGGGAAGAAAAAAAUGACGGUACCCAUGGAGGAAGCCCCGGCUAACUACGUGCCAGCAGCCGCGGUAAUACGUAGGGGGCGAGCGUUAUCCGGAAUUAUUGGGCGUAAAGAGUAUGUAGGUGGUCUCUUAAGCGCAGGGUUUAAGGCAAUGGCUCAACCAUUGUUCGCCCUGCGAACUGAAAGACUUGAGUGCAGGAGAGGAAAGUGGAAUUCCUAGUGUAGCGGUGAAAUGCGUAGAUAUUAGGAGGAACACCAGUGGCGAAGGCGGCUUUCUGGACUGUAACUGACACUGAGAUACGAAAGCGUGGGGAGCAAACAGGAUUAGAUACCCUGGUAGUCCACGCCGUAAACGAUGAGCACUAGGUGUCGGGGUCGCAAGGCUUCGGUGCCGCAGUUAACGCAUUAAGUGCU
rnacentral:rRNA from 1 species